rnacentral:rRNA from 1 species
AUGCCUUUUGGGUUAACUAAUGCACCUAGUACUUUCAUGAGGUUAAUGAACGAAGUUUUACGUGCUUUCAUUGGACGAUUUGUGGUAGUUUACUUUGAUGACAUAUUGAUUUAUAGCAAAUCUUUGGAGGAACAUUUGGAACAUUUACGUGUUGUUUUUAUUGCUCUACGUGAUGCACGUUUGUUUGGAAACCUUGGAAAGUGCACCUUUUGCACCGACCGAGUAUCUUUUCUUGGCUAUGUUGUUACUCCACAGGGAAUUGAAGUUGAUAAAGCCAAGAUUGAAGCUAUUGAGAGUUGGCCGCAGCCCAAAACGGUCACACAAGUGAGGAGUUUCCUUGGCCUCGCU